CCCGCGCCUUACAAUUCAUUUUCGCUCUGUCUCCCGAAAAAAUUAGGAGUCCGCCGCCCCUCCUAAGCACUCCUAUAAGAGAAAGUGUCAGAUUGCAACUAAAUCAAAUGGGAUGCUAAUGAAUAUUAUUGGCCUAUAUAUCACGAAGUUGGUUCAGGCAGUGAGAUAAUAACCGUCUUUGAUGUGGUUGUGGAUGCUGGUGGGAGUGGGACAUCAUGCACAGAGAAAAAAAACAGAGGGUGAUGUUUGGUUUCUUGGCGUAGCUUGCAAUUCUGGUUUGAUUUUUGAGAGUUAGCUACCGGUGAUGACCUGCUAUUAGUGCAUUCCCUACUAAGUUCCUUUCUAAUUACAUGACUUCAAUUAAAGGUGUAAUGUGUUGAUGAAGUUAUACUGUGCAUUCAUGUUGAUAAGUAACAUAGGAGGGAGUCAAUAUUGAACAAAAAUAUAUUGCUGAGAAGGUUUCUGAUUUACUCAAGAAUGAGUAUCAAAGACGGUUAUUUGAAAGAGAGUCACAACAAUUAUCGGGAGAUCAUGCUGCCUCUAGUGUGCAAUCUGAAAAUAGUAUUUUCUAUGAUGUUGUUGGUGGUGUGAACGAUAAAGGAAGAAUAUUUGGUUUAGGUUCAGAGGCUGGGAAGUAUAAACCUUCUUCUUCUACAUUCUUAGAUGGUAUCUCUACUCCUGAGUAUGAACAAAUGAAAAAUCUUGUUUCAAAUUUGUCUGAAGAAAACAAAUCAUUGAAAGAACAAUUGCAAAGCCAUGCAGAUUUGAUUCGUGCUCCAUAGGAAGAGUCUCGGUUGGUUCAUGAGCAGCUGAAGCAAUUUAUGGAGAUGUUUUCUCAAUCUUCUCGUCCUCCCCAACCUCCUCCUACACAUGAUGCUGACACUGUAUGAUGAGAUUCCACUUGGAAUUCUCAUGAACACUUCCAAAGCUUCUCGGAUUCCUUAGAAGAACUUCAAGGAAGAGACUCCAAGUAGCUUCAAUGUGACCUAGGCUUGCUUCUAGCUAAGUCCAGAGAAGAAAGCCUUCCUAA